rnacentral:rRNA from 1 species
UACGUAGGGUGCGAGCGUUGUCCGGAAUUAUUGGGCGUAAAGGGCUCGUAGGCGGUUUGUCGCGUCGGGAGUGAAAACCUACAGCUUAACUGUGGGCUUGCUUUCGAUACGGGCAGACUUGAGGCAUGCAGGGGAGAACGGAAUUCCUGGUGUAGCGGUGAAAUGCGCAGAUAUCAGGAAGAACACCCGUGGCGAAGGCGGCUCUCUGGGACGGUACUGACGCUGAGACGCGAAAGCGUGGGGAGCGAACAGG